CAUACCAUCAAAAAAAUGGAUGGUCAUAAAAAAUUUUAUGAGAAAAAAUUCCAGGUUUGCAUGAUUUUGGCAUUGGAUAAGGAAUUGCUUUGGUAAGGUACGGGUCAUGAGUGGUAAACUCAAGACUGAUGGCAGUAAAGUGUAGGGAUGAGAACACGGGGCCAUGCAGUUCUCCAACAGAGCACUGCACACUGGUUUGGUGGUUGAGGAAGGCUUCUUGUAGAAACUGGAGGUAAUGUUUGAAGGAUGAAGUGGAAUGAACCAAGAGUGCAGAGAUUAGUGGAUGUAGUAAAUUCCUUAAAUUGGGAGAGAGCAAAGUUUUAGAAGAUAAUGUUCAUAUUUUAGAAUGUACCUGAUGCUAUGCAAAUGACUUAAGUGAGUUUGGUCACUUCAUAUUUAUAGCAGUUUUGUAAAUUCCGAAUUGUGUUAUCACCAUAUUCAGAUGAAGAAAUGGACCACCCCCUGAACUUCUCCUCCUGUCUCACCACACACACAGAAAGAUUAGAAACAAGUCAUGAAGCCCUAGCCCACACUCCAAGGGAGGGGAUUACAGAAGUGCAUGAAUACCAGGAGACAAGAACCUUUGGGAACCAGUUAUGAAGGAAAGAGAGGAAGAGCCCAUCCCAUGGAAGAGAACCAGCUGUGCUUCAACUUCCCACCCAAGCUACACUACCUACUACAGCAGUGCCAGUGUCACCAUCGUGUGGGAAUUCCGUUCCUACUAGCGGGGAGCCUGGAUCUUGCCCUGGAGGUUGACAAAAACAAGGCACCAGAUAUGCAGGCGAGCCCUUUUGGAUGGGCUAGUCCAGUAGAGGUCCCAGAGGACUGAAGCCUGACCUGACAUCACUGUGAGCAGAAGACCCUCCCAGCUUGCUGUGUAACUUUCAUAUUCAACAAGGAAUGCCCUCCCCCACAACUGGAAAAUAUGAUGCUGUUAUUACAGGACUCAGGUUAAAAAGGAUGUCCAAGGACACAUGACUGGAGCCAUUCCAGGGAACCACAUUGCAUUUACUUGUCAUGUCUCCCCAGCCCCCUCUGGUCUGCGACAGUCUUCCAGUCUUCCUUUGUUUUUAUGACCUUGAUGGUGUUGAGAAAUACUGGCAAGGUAUCCUGCAGCAUAUCCAAUAAUCCAGAGUGACCGUGGUGGUCUGUUCUCUUUCUUGGAACGGUGGCCUUGCCAUGUGCACACAGUCUCCUAGUGGAGAAGAGUGCAUCUGUCCAAGCUAAAGCCAUUCCAGACCAGGUGACAGCCAGCUGAUUCCAGAACACAUGAGCAAGGCCAGCCUCGGUCAGCAGCAUGGCCUCCGGUUACCACAGCUGACCACAGACUCAUCAGGAAGCUCCGUCAAGAGCAGCAGGACCACUCAGCUCACCUCUAGACA